rnacentral:rRNA from 1 species
CGGACACACUAAACUUUUAUUUUAUUUGCUUUAUAAAUGAAAAUUAGCCUUUAGGUGAAGAGACCUAAAUAAGGUAGAAAGACAAGAAGACCCUAUUGAGCUUUAUUUUAAAAUAAAAAGAGAAAUUUUGUUGGGGCGACCAGGGAAUAAAAAAACCUUCCCUAAUUUAGACGGACACUCCAAUUAACUAAUCCUAAAGGAACGCAGAACAAGCUACCAUAGGGAUAACAGGCUAAUUUUUUCAGCGAGCUCAUAUCAAUGAAAAAGAUUGGCACCUCGAUGUUGGCUUGAAGAAUCUAUUGGGUGCAGCAGCCU